rnacentral:rRNA from 1 species
AGUGAACGCUGGCGGUAGGCCUAACACAUGCGAGUCGAACGGCAGCACAGUAAGAGCUUGCUCUUACGGGUGGCGAGUGGCGGACGGGUGAGGAAUACAUCGCAAUCUACUUUUUCGUGGGGGAUAACGUAGGGAAACUUACGCUAAUACCGCAUACGACCUACGGGUGAAAGCAGGGGAUCUUCGGACCUUGCGCGAUUGAAUGAGCCGAUGUCGGAUUAGCUAGUUGGCGGGGUAAAGGCCCACCAAGGCGACGAUCCGUAGCUGGUCUGAGAGGAUGAUCAGCCACACUGGAACUGAGACACGGUCCAGACUCCUACGGGAGGCAGCAGUGGGGAAUAUUGGACAAUGGGCGCAAGCCUGAUCCAGCCAUACCGCGUGGGUGAAGAAGGCCUUCGGGUUGUAAAGCCCUUUUGUUGGGAAAGAAAAGCAGCAGGUUAAUACCCCGCUGUUCUGACGGUACCCAAAGAAUAAGCACCGGCUAACUUCGUG